UGGGUUCACUACAAAUAUAACCAAGGUUGAUCUAGAUGAACAGGAGUUAAUGAUGGCCCUGCUCAAAGGAGCUUGCAAUCUAAAGGAAUGAGCUCACAAUGUAGACUGUGAAUUGUUAUAAUUUCUAAAUAAUUUCACAUUUCAGGCAAAAAUCUAAUAACAGCUGAUUGGAGAUUUUUCCCAGUUCUCAUAUUUCGGAUUAAAAUUUGAAAUUCAGGCUGUGAUGGGAGUUAUGCUAUGGAAUUCACUGAGCAAUUAAAAACAUUAUAUUUGACGUGAAAUCCCUAUAUUGGGAUAUGGCUAAAUGUCCUAUGAUGCUCAGCCAAACAGUAUAUUGGCUGAGAGUUAUGCAAUGCCUCAGUAAGCCACUCACUC